rnacentral:sRNA from 1 species
AGUUGAUGCACACGGUGGCUUUCCUCCCAGUUCCACCGCAUCAGCUGUUCCCCUCUGGAGGUUUUUGACCUUCAUACCUAUAGGGCCCCGAAGCAAUUCGGUGGCCCUUUUUU